CUGAAGGCCAUUAUAACAACAGAGGGAGUUUACUUUGUACGCGCCAAAGGAAUCCCAUCACCCGAGUCGAUUGUAUUAUUAGUGAAAUAUGCAGAUUUGUUUGAAUGCCAGCCUCUCUUCGGUGAUGGUAAACAUUAUAUCGAACUUGUAAUGAAUGCUGAUAACAGCACGGUGCCGACGCCUUCGAAAAACCCCAGCAAACGACCACGUGUUCGAUGUGACGAUCAAAAAAUUGCGCAAAAGGUCUCGCAAAAAAUCAACUACUCCAAGAACUUGUACGACGAAGUGAAGCAAACCGUUACACCAGAACCCAAAGAAACGCUCUCGCCGAGCGCGUCAUUCGACAGAGAUUAAUGACGUCAUGAAAGAAGAGGCUACGUCACCAGCAGGUUGGUCACCAUAAAGACUAUUGGCGUCAUAAUUGGAUUUGCCAUGCUUCGUCAAUAAUAAUGACGUCAUAGUUGUCACUCAAGUGACGUCAUCNUUAAGCACCAUUGGAAUUUUUGACGUCAUUGUCAUGUUACUUAGCAUUGUGCUAAUGACGUAAUAGUAAGAUUAAGGACGGUGGAAACUUGUGACGUCAUCAUUUUGCAUCAUUUUGCUUUGACGUCACUUCUCAGCAAGUCACCAUGGAGACGCAUCACCAUGGAAGUGCAUUGACAUUUGCAUUAAACUUUUUGAGUCAGAAAUAAUAGUUUCCAAAGAUGAAUCAAUACACGACGAAUUCUAAAAAAUACAUCGCUGCGCUGGCUCAAAAAUACCAAGAAACGAAUGAUUUUUAUACAAUUAUAAUUAAAAAGCAAACGAUCUUAGGCAUAGUUUCUUUUCAAAUUUCCCUUGAAGCCACGGCCGAACGAGAAACUGUUGUUUUAGAAAACAAAUUCAUCAGUCAAGAGAACAGAAAAAAUAUCUUUAGACCGACUCCAUAAUCCCUAUUUUUUUUUUUCUUCUCGUAUUUUGUUGUUGCUGUUGUUGUUGUUGUUGUUGCUGCUGCUGUUGUUGUUUUUCGUGUAAACUCCAUUCAGCAAUCGAACCAACAUCUAAGACGUUCAAACAGCACAAAUAUAAGGUCGCACAAGAUGAGUCAACAUUUCUCGUUCAGCUUGANGCUCAGGUUGCCUUGUUAUUAGAAUUUGCUAAUAACGUUAGCAAGAAAUGUUUUUUUUGACUUAUUACACAGUAAUAUUUUAAUUUUAUAAAAUAUUUCUCUUAAUUGCAGUGUUUUAAAUUGCAAUUUUUAAAGUGUUUGCAGUGAAUUCUAAACAAAUUCUAAAACAAGGCUUUUUGUCCGCUGUGUCGAUGUGCAAGAUUGUUUAAAAUUUAAGAAUUAGAUAUAACGGAUUAAAAUUUUAGCGGAUUAUAUUUGCAUCAAAUAAAACAUAGAUUAAUAGUUUUUAUAUAAAGAUUCUUAAAAUUUCGUGAAAAGUUGAUUACGGGAUUGUUCAAUGGUAAGGUCAUGAGCAAAAGGUCAAGGGUUUGGACCUGGCGGGUUUGAAAAGUAAAAAUAUAUGACUUACGAUUUUUGUAAAGCGCGCUAUGUGAAAUUUUUUCAGAAAAAGUAGAUAAUGUUCGAAUUACCCAUGUUUAGAAUUACAAAUGUUUAGAAUUCACUGUAUUUAGAAACAACUGCUUUAGUUUGUAAAAUAAUCAAAGUAUUUUGCAAAAUUUUGGUAUAGAUAUUCGUUGUACUUGUAAAUAAGAUCACAAUAGGCCAAUGAAUUUGCUUUUUUCUACGA
rnacentral:lncRNA from 1 species